rnacentral:rRNA from 1 species
AGAGUUUGAUUCUGGCUCAGGAUGAACGCUGGCGGCGUGCUUAACACAUGCAAGUCGAACGGAGUUUUUAAACGGAAGUUUUCGGAUGGAAGUUUAAGAACUUAGUGGCGGACGGGUGAGUAACGCGUGGGUAACCUGCCUCAUACAGGGGGAUAACAGUUAGAAAUGACUGCUAACACCGCAUAAUAUAGUGAAACCGCAUGAUUUUUGCUAUCAAAUAUUUAUAGGUAUGAGAUGGGCCCGCGUCUGAUUAGCUAGUUGGUGGGGUAAAGGCCUACCAAGGCGACGAUCAGUAGCCGGCUUGAGAGAGUGACCGGCCACAUUGGGACUGAGACACGGCCCAAACUCCUACGGGAGGCAGCAGUGGGGAAUAUUGGACAAUGGGGGAAACCCUGAUCCAGCCGACGCCGCGUGAGUGAAGAAGUAUUUCGGUAUGUAAAGCUCUAUCAGCAGGGAAGAUAAUGACAGUACCUGACUAAGAAGCCCCGGCUAACUACGUGCCAGCCGCCGC